CUAUCGCAAGUGUACGGUUCGUAACAAGUAAUAAAGUGGAUUUUAAUAAGUCCGAAUAUCGUCCCUCAGAGAUUGAGUAGUUCAAUUCUAUAUAAUCUGGCUUUAACCGAAUCUAAUUGAGUGAAAAUAUGGUCUAAAUGCAAAAAGCCCUAAUUUCAAUUAAAAACCCUAAUUUCACUAAAAACCCUAAUUUCUAUCGAAAACCCUAAUUUCUCAAUUAGAAACCCUAAUUGAGAAAUUUCUCUAAUUUAAAUGACUCAAACACU
rnacentral:lncRNA from 1 species